rnacentral:lncRNA from 1 species
UUAUUAGAGCAAGUGGUAAAGGGUUUGGUGGUUGGUACCCGAGGUCUCAAGUUCGAAUCCUGGUUGAUUUACAUUUCCAGCUAAGUUUAUUUAUAAACGAAGCGGGUAGCAUGCUACCUAUCUCUCAAAAAAAAAAAAAAAAGUAUUUUCUUUUGCUAUCAAGUUUUUAACUUUUGUAUCAAUUUCUUUGAGAAUUUCUAAUCAUUAGAUUAAAUAUUAUAAUCCAAUAGAGACCACUUAAUCCUAAGAGAUUAAUAUAUUCUAAUCCUACGAUUUCUCGUCCAAGAGUUAAAAAUUUGAUAGGAAAAGAAAACAAAUACUAUCAAUAGUAUUCCAGCCCAACUCUCUCUCUCUCUCUCUCUCUCUCUCUCUCUCUCUCUCUCUCUCUAN